rnacentral:rRNA from 2 species
GCCUGGGGAGUACGGUCGCAAGAUUAAAACUCAAAGGAAUAGACGGGGACCCGCACAAGCGGUGGAGCAUGUGGUUUAAUUCGAAGAUACGCGAAGAACCUUACCUGGGCUUGAUAUCCUAAGAACCUUUUAGAGAUAAGAGGGUGCUAGCUUGCUAGAACUUAGAGACAGGUGCUGCACGGCUGUCGUCAGCUCGUGUCGUGAGAUGUUGGGUUAAGUCCCGCAACGAGCGCAACCCACGUAUUUAGUUGCUAACGGUUCGGCCGAGCACUCUAAAUAGACUGCCUUCGUAAGGAGGAGGAAGGUGUGGACGACGUCAAGUCAUCAUGGCCCUUAUGCCCAGGGCGACACACGUGCUACAAUGGCAUAUACAAUGAGACGCAAUACCGCGAGGUGGAGCAAAUCUAUAAAAUAUGUCCCAGUUCGGAUUGUUCUCUGCAACUCGAGAGCAUGAAGCCGGAAUCGCUAGUAAUCGUAGAUCAGCCAUGCUACGGUGAAUACGUUCCCGGGUCUUGUACUCACCGCCCGUCACACCAUGGGAGUUGAUUUCACUCGAAGCCGGAAUACUAAACUAGUUACCGUCCACAGUGGAAUCAGCGACUGGGGUGAAGUCGUAACAAGGUAACCGUAGGAGAACCUGCGGUUGGAUCACCUCCUUUCUAGA